UCUGUGGUGUGGGACUCGGCGUUCUCCUCCCGGUUUGCAGGACUCUCCGUAGGUGGAACCCGGUUGUCCUGAGUUUCUCGGGCGGCUGCCCAGCGGGAAAUCAUCUAUGAAGUCGUGAACGCUCCGCAGCGGGCGAGCGAAGGAAUCUAGUGAGAAAGCACGCGCGAGCGAGCCCCUCGGUGUUCUCGAAAACAGAAGAAAGGGAAUAAACUUCAAGACAUAUAACUAAGAGGACAGAGUUCAAAGAAUAUCCUUCUAGAAGGUAUAGUCAGAGGAUGAAGAACACCACAAGCCUCUUCUGCAAUAUGCCAGCAUCGCUACCAGGACCAGCAUCUCCCAUUCUUUUCUAAAUAGGAUUAAUAAAAAUUGUUUCCUAU